CGCGCGCGCCUGCCGUUGGAAAAGGCAGGGCGAGGCUGGGCUGCGGGGCGCCGCCCCGAGGGAACGGGGCGCUGCCGCCAGCCACUCCGCUCCCUCCGAGGGCCCGGAGGCCUCUGAGCCCGCGUCAAGACUCCCUCUGCCUUCUGGGAUGCAGCCCCAAGACCAGGGUGUGAAAGAACCCCUUUAUCCCCUACAACAAGGGGCAGGCUGGAGAGCAGCUAGUAAUAGCACCCAAGGAACCAGGUGUUUGCCCAUGGAACAGCAGGACCUUUACACAUGUACUACCCCUCCCCAUCCUCCUUAAAAGCUUCAGAGGAGUUAAUAACAAGGUGGGACUGCAGUUCUACUUCUGGAAGAAAAGUUUUUGCCAGCUUUUGACUGCUCCAGGGCAGAGUAAACCCCAACAGGCUUCAUUUGCAUGACAUGUGACUGCUCCAUCAAGUGUUAAGGAUGUCUCCUCAGCUGACACAGGAAGGCAUACAAGUUCAGAAACACUGACUCUCUUCAGGCUAUAGCAUAGUCACAAUAGCAGCUUGUUUUAAUAAAAUCUGCCAUUGAUUUACCAGUUCUGAAACAAGUUCAGUAUGACCAGCACCAACACAUCAUUAAUGACAGAUGAAGACUACUAAUACCUACAUAGCAAUUCUGAGUUUCCAUAACCUGGUCCAAACCUUUCAUCUACAAUGCCUUUUUUUUAAUUCCUGCAGAAAAGCUAUCAGCCUCAAGCACCUUCUAUCUCUUGAACUAUGGGCAGAAAAAACCUGUCAUCCGUUUUCUCCUCACUACAUUUGUGUCCAUGUGCAGUGAGGCCAAAGAUCAGCAGGCUUUCUGGGAAUUUAAAUGCUUUGUCUAACAGACUAUAUAAGACAUUGCAUUAGUACUGAUAGUCUCAACCUACCAAAUCUGAGAGCUGAGUCUAAAUUAUGCUUAUCCUUGCACGCUAAGUUAUUACAUGUUCUUCAUUUCCAUCUCAGCUAUUUUCUGUGUCUAAUGAAGAGACAACUGCUAUAUGCUCAACAAGACAUCCAGCACCAAGUUCAUUAAAGUGAUAUUGCAAAACUGAGUAAGUACUCAAUGGACAAUUAACUGCAAUAGGAUAAAUAUGGCACUAUGGUGUCUUCAACAAGUAGCAUUACAGAACCAGCUGCAUUUCAAGAGGCACUGUAUUGAUCUGUGCACAGCAAGUAACAUGUACUUAGCACCUUUCAAUAAACCUUCAUUUAACCUGCCUAGUUAAUACUGUUUUCUAGAAAAAACAUUUAAGAUUUGAAAGAGGAAGAACUCUUACCCUCUCCAUGUUUGUCUGUGAACUGGAAGGCCUGGACAAGUCUGAGGGUUUCAUCAACAGAACGGCCAACAGGAAGAUCAUUGAUUGUUAUCUGCCUCAAGAUGCCUUUCUCAUCAAUUAUGAACAGACCCCUAAAAAACCACAACCCUGAAGUUAAACACCACUUUUGAAAGACUGAUUAGACUGAAGUGAGUUUCAAAACCUCAAGUUCAGUAUUCUAUUAUGGCAGUAAGUUGUGUUGUGUCAUUACUGACCUCUUCCUAAAAACCUAAUACCUUCCAUGUAUGCAUAGCACUAAAACAUUAGCAGUUAAAAGCCUAACAUCCAGCAGGAACUAGGAAGGACAGGAGGCAAGUCAAAACACUAAUGCAGGAAAGCAACACUAUUUGAGGAAGAUACUAGUGGAAAAACAAAAUGGAAGAGAAACCCAAGACAAAAGUGAAUUGAAGCAGAGGCAUUUUUACAUUCAAAUAAAGACUACACACACCAUUCUCAAAAGACCCAACCCAGCAAUGGCUCAUCAGUUAGUCCUCCAGAGUCAUAUUAAGAGUUUGCAGAAGUUCAGCUCCCUCAGCAACUGCUACUGAACGGUCAACUAAAACGUAAGGCUUGUGUUUUAAUUAAUCUGUACUUUAAUCACUAAAUACCUGUAAUCACUUUCAUGACUACAUAGGUCUUGUAUUACCAAUGUUUGCAGAAGCCCACCUGCAUGAGACUCCUGCACAGUGCACACAGGUAAUCAAAGAGAAGCAUCAAGCAUUUAUCCAGCUUAACAAAACCAUGAAAAGUCUAAACACUAAGGAGAACCAAGUAGUACCUCCCCUUGCAGGAGUGUUUGAUAGCUUGAAGCAGUUUGCACCUAGAAGAGCUAAUAGCUUCAGCUUGCUCCAGGUGUUCAAUCAAGUAUAUGCAAGCUCUGUGUUCAUCUGACAUGCUCCAUGGUUGCAACAUAAGACUAACAGCAAGUUUACCUUCUUGCACAUUACCUGUAUGCAAUCCCUUCAUCCUCUUUAAGUACUCCAUAUUCUUUGGCAAUGGCACGUUUUGUGUCAGAAAUCAAUGGGAUUUUCAUAGUACCCAAACCACCUUGUUUCUUAGGAGUGUUGAUCCUAAAAGAAGGAAGUUAAAACGUUAAAAAUAUGGACAGUUCAGAAUAAAGUACAAGGUACAACAGAAGCGGAUCAUUCCUACAAUAUCAUACUUGGUCUACCAGGAGGCAACAAGAGAACUGAACAGCAUGCUCAGGUCUGUUCAGAAGCAUGUUGCACCACCACUACUUUGAGUGCACUGAAGUAAGCAAGCUUGAACAGAGCCAGGAUUCAGUUCCUGCAAGAACUGAGACCAGGCAGAACAUUCUAUUAGGUUGAAAGGCUGAUUCUUACCAGGCAAGGUGACAGAAGUGAGAGUCAACAGAAGCUCCAAUUACUUCACAGUUAAUUUUCUUGAAUUCAUCAGCUCUGUCACUGUAUGCAAUAAUUUCAGUUGGACAGACAAAAGUGAAGUCCAGGGGGUAGAAGAAGAACACAACGUAUUUUCCUAGAAGGGCAGUAUAACCAGUUAAUCUCUUACCUUUGUAAGAGCUGUCAUAUUAAACAUCAACCAUUCAAAUACUGAUAUAGGAGAAAGGGCUUGAUACAAUGCUACCUUUAAAGAUUAAAUGGCAAACUACAGAUACCUGUUUUUAGGACUUGCUUUGUAAGUGGCAAGCCCAUGAAGCACCAUGGGGAGUUACACUUCAGCCAAAUACCAUUUACAGCACUCUUCAAGGCCACUCCACAGCCCCUAACAGAGAACCCCACCCAUCUGAAGACUCCAAAGCCAGAUUAUCAAAUCUGACAGGGAAUGCCUGUCUUCUCGUGUACUCCUAUAGGCCUGCCCAGAGCGCACCUAGUAGCUACACUAGAAGACCCUGUGGUUGACUACUAACGGAGUGCAGAAAUGCCAUGGUUCUGAAAAGCUACAAGCCAAGGAGACGUUUUAAUUGAGUAGGUGACUAGGUUAUUACCUACUCAACACCCUCGUUGAAUCAUAGAAUGGUCUGGGUUGAAAGGGACCUUGAAGAUCAUCUAGUUCCAAUCCCCUGCCACAAGGAGGGGCACCUUCUACUAGACCAGGUAGCUCACAUGCAGCUGAAGGGCCACAGCUUCUUUAGAAACAUCUUUCUAAAUUCAUCCACAUUAGUAUUUGAAUACUUCAGGCUUUCCCUUUGAUUUUAGUAUGCUUUUUUGGCAAGGCAAACAUUUUGCCAGUACUCUAGAGAAAGGAACUUUAUUGGUUAGGGGAAAAAACCUAAUUUCCAUUGACAGAAAGCCUACAAGGGAAGAUCUUACUGUUCCACGUUGUUUGGAGAUGUUACAUCAGUCUCCUAAUACGACAGACAGGACAAAUAAGCCUGAUCUGAGAUUAGGGUUUAGAGGCAUUUUAUACUAAUUAGCAACUACUAUCACAGCUGGGACAUUCAGCCAUGCUGCUGACAGCUUCCCAAGCAUACCCCAGCCAUCAAUGAUAACCAUCACACAAGUUGCAUAUUUCAGUCUACUGCCAAAUGGUCACUAUUACUUUGAAACCAAAGAGGUUCCCUCCACUCUUGCAUACGGCCAGAUUACACCUGUGUUACUAGAGAGCACAUAAUCUCACCUUUAUAGUCAGAGAGUUUGAUAUCUUUGAAUUGUCCAUCUGGCAUUACAGCCGUGGCAGUAAAGUCGGGGGCUGGUUUCCCAAUGAAAGCCUUUCCUGAAGACAUCUUGAUUUAAU